rnacentral:lncRNA from 1 species
ACGAUAAGAUGAUUCAUAUUUUUGUUCUCUCAUAUCUACAAUAGUAACUUGUGUGUAAUCUAUCUAUUUAUCUAUCUAGAUAUCACAAUUCCGGAGGAGUCCUUUUAACGAGGGAUAUAAAAUGCGUGCUGGCUCAACUUCGGGAAACUUUUAGUCUACGUCCGAUCGUUUAUCGUCGUGAAUACUCGAUGUUACUGGUGUUCUUUGUUGAAUGGGGGGGAAUAAAAUAGCCCGCUUAGAGCUUCGAAGAAACGAUUUCUCCAACUCUUAUCGGAAAUUUAUUUCGGAAGAAAAAAAGAAACGAAGAAGUAGAUCUUAUUCGAUCUCGUUAGAAUAGGCUAAAGAAUAAAAUUAUCGAGAUAGAAAUAGUUAAGAAUUUUCGAUUAGUUAAAUAAAAGUUGUCAGAACAAAAAA